GGUGCGCAAGUUGAUCAUCUUCAGUGACAGAUGCUGUGGGCAGAAUAACAACUGGCGGAUGCUCAAUCUGAUGUCGAUGCUCAUCUCUAUGGGUUACUUUACCCAAGUUGAGCAGAAGUUCAUGGUCUCUGGUCAUUCUUUUCUUCCUUGUGAUCGAUCUUUUGCCACCAUUGAGAAGAGGCGCAAGGUGUCAGUCCUUCAUACACCUGAUGAUGUUUCAAAGAUGAUGCUUGAAGCACAACCAGCAAAACCAUUCAAGGUGAUGAGGAUGCAAUGUGAAGACUUCAGGCACCUGCCAGAUUCUGUCCUCAAGCGACCAGCUGGACUACAGAUCACCUCAGUGAGGUGGUUAAAAGUCACAGGUAUUGGGAAAGGAAUCGAUCGCAAACAUUGGCUCAUUCUAAGAUCCGAUGACAGUAUAUCACAGUUGAGGAUCCUUGGAAUCUGUACGCCAGACAGAGCCACAGUCUAUUUGAGGGAUGGAAAUCGUGGCUGAUCUCCAAACCAAAACAAGGAGCUACACCUCAACCUCCCUAUUUUGCAAGCCACUACCCUAGAGCAUAUGAGAGUACUCUGCCCAUCAAAAAAAACAAGUACCAAGAUCUGAUGACCAUGCUCAACUACUUGCCAGCUGCUGCACGCUCUUUUUAUAAAUCACUGCAGAGUGAAUAAUUUGAUGUUAAACCAAGCUACAUAAUUAACCGUUUUUUCUGUGAGUUUAUGAUCCCCUGAACCUGUAUAGUAUGUUGAAUCUGAAUACAUUUCAGAAAACAUGUCACCCCUAUUGUAGGAAUUUUCUAUGUGAAUCAAUUUGUGUAUGAUUUCAACCAGCACAAUAUAUUGAAUGAAUUACAUUUUAAGAUGUUGUUCCUAGUGUAGAAAAUGUUAUGUACAAUGUGUUCUGUUGAGAAUGAUUUUGUGUGUGAUCAUUUGAACCUUUUUUAAAUCUGAAUUAAUUAAAAACAAACAAGUCAUCA